rnacentral:rRNA from 1 species
CAACCUGCCCUUCAGAGGGGGACAACAGUUGGAAACGACUGCUAAUACCGCAUACGAUCUAACCUCGGCAUCGAGGAUAGAUGAAAGGUGGCCUCUAUGUAUAAGCUAUCACUGAAGGAGGGGAUUGCGUCUGAUUAGCUAGUUGGAGGGGUAACGGCCCACCAAGGCGAUGAUCAGUAGCCGGUCUGAGAGGGUGAACGGCCACAUUGGGACUGAGACACGGCCCAA